GACAGAGGUGCCAAGCGUUAGGCGGAAUCACUGGGCUUAAAGCGUGUGUAGGCGGGUCGUUAAGUACCUUGUGAAAUCCCCCCGGCUCAACCGGGGGAACGGCUGGGUAUACUGGCGAUCUUGAGCCACCUAGGGGCAGUCGGAACAAGUGGUGGAGCGGUGAAAUGCGUAGAUAUCACUUGGAACGCCAAUGGUGAAAACAGACUGCUGGGGGUGUGCUGACGCUGAGACACGAAAGCCAGGGGAGCAAACGGG
rnacentral:rRNA from 1 species